GUCGUCGUCGUCGUCGUCGUCGGUUAUCGUGCGCAUAGCUGGCAAAAUAAAUACGAAAAUACCUGAACUGAACUGAACAGCAAAUGGGAAAUGUUGUUGUUGCUCUCUCUUGGCGCUUAAUAACUAAACAGAAAAUCCCCUACAGGCGCCCUGCGUGAAAGGUGCGCUCCCCAAGAAACCUCUAAGACGUGAGUAAUUUUCUUUUAUACAUUUGUGUCACUUAAUUAUUCGCAAAUUAUGCAUCAUUUAACUUUCGAGCGUUUUGGGCAAACACACAAAAAUGUCCAAAUUAAUGGACACCUCCACUUCCGGCACCAGAAGCUGAAGUUGUCUCAAAUCAAAAGAACUGACAUUAAUGGCCUGCACAAAUAUUUACUUACGGAACUAGGGUCAAAUGUGGCGCGCAGACAGAUCAAUCACAAAAUUGGUUGACGUAACUUGAACUAUGAGUGGAGUACCCAUAUUUCGGUAUCGUAAUGGUAUUAAAUGAUUUAAUGAUCCCAUGAAAACCCAUAAUAUUUGUGGAAUCUCCCAUCUAUCACUUACUGCCCGCAUAAACUAUAAGCAUUCCCCCACAGAUUGGCACAGGCGGGGCUUCCGCCGUAUCUACUUGAAUUUGAUAACUUUUGCCAGCCAUCCAGCCAGGCACCUAAACUUUAUGAGUUUGUGUUCGAUUGUGUUCUGUUGCUGUUGUGCUGUGUUGUGUUUUGUUUGAUUAUUUCGCCGAUAUGAAGAGCAAAGAGCAUUUAAUAUUUACACGAUUCGUUUGGCCCUAAUGCGAGGGCUUCCGCACAAAAAGCUGCCGCCGCCCGAUUCUCGAGCCCGAGCUGGCCGUGAUAAGCGCCGGAGGGAGGCGGAAAAGCCGUUUGACUUGUACACUGGCGCUGCGCUGAGGAGUGGCCUAUAAACGGAACGUAUCUGCGCCGCACUUGAAAAUAAAGCCAGCCAAAGAAAACUGGUAAGCCUUUCGACUUGUUUGACUUGCCUGCGCAUAGGAAGCCAGUUUUGUAUGGCCAAUCAAUGUGCUAAUAACAGAGCUUCUAGCUCCAGUUCAAUAUUUGCACAUCAUUACAAUUACGUACGCCGAAAGAGAGCUCAGCUCAGCUGUGCUCUGCUCUGCUCUGCCUUUCGGAGUGUGCAUUGUUUUAAUGAUCUAUUUGCGCGGUUGAAUAACACACUAAUUGACACACAAACACGAAGCGGCGCGACGCGACAAACGAACGUGCACUAAGGCCCCGGAGUCGAUGUCGGAGUCGAUGUCGAAGUCGAAGUCUCCACAUCCACAUCCAUAUCCACAUCGGGCGAAUGGAAUCGGUCGUUAGCAACCUUGACAAAGAAAAUUUUCAAUUAACGGCGAACGCCAAUUUGCGUACAGAGUGCGAAAGAGACGCGCAAAAAAUACGAGUAACACAAGACUCCACACAACACGCAAAAUGCUCAAAAAAUGGUUCGUUUUCGUAAGUCGAACAAUUAUGUCUUUAACAAUUUGGGUCACUUAUGUUAUGUAUCGAAGAGAACACAGACUCUGCGAUUCUGCGUGCGUUGAGAUUAUCGCAAAUGGCAAAGAGAUAUAUGUAUCUACAAUAUUGAUUGGCUUAAUUAUGCAUAAUAAAUGCCACUCGAAGAGUCUUAA